UUAAGUUAUUAAGGGCGCACGGUGGAUGCCUUGGCACUAGAAGCCGAUGAAGGACGUUACUAACGACGAUAUGCUUUGGGGAGCUGUAAGUAAGCUUUGAUCCAGAGAUUUCCGAAUGGGGAAACCCAGCAUGAGUUAUGUCAUGUUAUCGAUAUGUGAAUACAUAGCAUAUCAGAAGGCACACCCGGAGAACUGAAACAUCUUAGUACCCGGAGGAAGAGAAAGAAAAUUCGAUUCCCUUAGUAGCGGCGAGCGAAACGGGAAGAGCCCAAACCAACAAGCUUGCUUGUUGGGGUUGUAGGACACUCUAUACGGAGUUACAAAGGACGACAUUAGACGAAUCAUCUGGAAAGAUGAAUCAAAGAAGGUAAUAAUCCUGUAGUCGAAAAUGUUGUCUCUCUUGAGUGGAUCCUGAGUACGACGGAGCACGUGAAAUUCCGUCGGAAUCUGGGAGGACCAUCUCCUAAGGCUAAAUACUCUCUAGUGACCGAUAGUGAACCAGUACCGUGAGGGAAAGGUGAAAAGCACCCCGGAAGGGGAGUGAAAUAGAACCUGAAACCGUGUGCUUACAAGUAGUCAGAGCCCGUUAAUGGGUGAUGGCGUGCCUUUUGUAGAAUGAACCGGCGAGUUACGAUUUGAUGCAAGGUUAAGCAGUAAAUGUGGAGCCGUAGCGAAAGCGAGUCUGAAUAGGGCGUUUAGUAUUUGGUCGUAGACCCGAAACCAGGUGAUCUACCCUUGGUCAGGUUGAAGUUCAGGUAACACUGAAUGGAGGACCGAACCGACUUACGUUGAAAAGUGAGCGGAUGAACUGAGGGUAGCGGAGAAAUUCCAAUCGAACCUGGAGAUAGCUGGUUCUCUCCGAAAUAGCUUUAGGGCUAGCCUCAAGUGAUGAUUAUUGGAGGUAGAGCACUGUUUGGACGAGGGGCCCCUCUCGGGUUACCGAAUUCAGACAAACUCCGAAUGCCAAUUAAUUUAACUUGGGAGUCAGAACAUGGGUGAUAAGGUCCGUGUUCGAAAGGGAAACAGCCCAGACCACCAGCUAAGGUCCCAAAAUAUAUGUUAAGUGGAAAAGGAUGUGGCGUUGCCCAGACAACUAGGAUGUUGGCUUAGAAGCAGCCAUCAUUUAAAGAGUGCGUAAUAGCUCACUAGUCGAGUGACACUGCGCCGAAAAUGUACCGGGGCUAAACAUAUUACCGAAGCUGUGGAUUGUCCUUUGGACAAUGGUAGGAGAGCGUUCUAAGGGCGUUGAAGCAUGAUCGUAAGGACAUGUGGAGCGCUUAGAAGUGAGAAUGCCGGUGUGAGUAGCGAAAGACGGGUGAGAAUCCCGUCCACCGAUUGACUAAGGUUUCCAGAGGAAGGCUCGUCCGCUCUGGGUUAGUCGGGUCCUAAGCUGAGGCCGACAGGCGUAGGCGAUGGAUAACAGGUUGAUAUUCCUGUACCACCUAUAAUCGUUUUAAUCGAUGGGGGGACGCAGUAGGAUAGGCGAAGCGUGCGAUUGGAUUGCACGUCUAAGCAGUAAGGCUGAGUAUUAGGCAAAUCCGGUACUCGUUAAGGCUGAGCUGUGAUGGGGAGAAGACAUUGUGUCUUCGAGUCGUUGAUUUCACACUGCCGAGAAAAGCCUCUAGAUAGAAAAUAGGUGCCCGUACCGCAAACCGACACAGGUAGUCAAGAUGAGAAUUCUAAGGUGAGCGAGCGAACUCUCGUUAAGGAACUCGGCAAAAUGACCCCGUAACUUCGGGAGAAGGGGUGCUCUUUAGGGUUAACGCCCAGAAGAGCCGCAGUGAAUAGGCCCAAGCGACUGUUUAUCAAAAACACAGGUCUCUGCUAAACCGUAAGGUGAUGUAUAGGGGCUGACGCCUGCCCGGUGCUGGAAGGUUAAGAGGAGUGGUUAGCUUCUGCGAAGCUACGAAUCGAAGCCCCAGUAAACGGCGGCCGUAACUAUAACGGUCCUAAGGUAGCGAAAUUCCUUGUCGGGUAAGUUCCGACCCGCACGAAAGGCGUAACGAUUUGGGCACUGUCUCAACGAGAGACUCGGUGAAAUCAUAGUACCUGUGAAGAUGCAGGUUACCCGCGACAGGACGGAAAGACCCCGUGGAGCUUUACUGUAGCCUGAUAUUGAAAUUCGGCACAGCUUGUACAGGAUAGGUAGGAGCCUUUGAAACGUGAGCGCUAGCUUACGUGGAGGCGCUGGUGGGAUACUACCCUAGCUGUGUUGGCUUUCUAACCCGCACCACUUAUCGUGGUGGGAGACAGUGUCAGGCGGGCAGUUUGACUGGGGCGGGCGCCCCC
rnacentral:rRNA from 1 species